AUUGAACGCUGGCGGCAGGCUUAACACAUGCAAGUCGAGCGGAGAGAGGUAGCUUGCUACUGAUCUUAGCGGCGGACGGGUGAGUAAUGCUUAGGAAUCUGCCUAUUAGUGGGGGACAACAAUUCGAAAGGAAUGCUAAUACCGCAUACGUCCUACGGGAGAAAGCAGGGGAUCUUCGGACCUUGCGCUAAUAGAUGAGCCUAAGUCGGAUUAGCUAGUUGGUGGGGUAAAGGCCUACCAAGGCGACGAUCUGUAGCGGGUCUGAGAGGAUGAGCGGCCACACUGGGACUGAGACCCGGCCCAGACUCCUACGGGAGGCAGCAGUGGGGAAUAUUGGACAAUGGGCGGAAGCCUGAUCCAGCCAUGCCGCGUGUGUGAAGAAGGCCUUAUGGUUGUAAAGCACUUUAAGCGAGGAGGAGGCUACUUUAGUUAAUACCUAGAGAUAGUGGACGUUACUCGCAGAAUAAGCACCGGCUAACUCUGUGCCAGCCGCCGCCGUAAGAC
rnacentral:rRNA from 1 species